GGCUUUGACUGUAUUGGAAUACCUUGUUGGUCAUGGAUCAGAGCGUGUAAUAGAUGAGAUAAGGGAACAUGCAUAUCAAAUAUCGACAUUGGCAGAUUUCCAAUAUAUUGAUUCUAGUGGAAGUGACCAGGGUAGCAAUGUCAGAAAGAAAUCUCAAAGUCUUGUGGUCNNNNNNNCUGGUUAAUGAUAAAGAAAGGAUAAUCGAAGUUAGACAAAAGGCUGCUGCUAAUCG
rnacentral:misc_RNA from 1 species